CAAGUAGAUCGCCUUAUCGAACCAAAUUUAUUUUGGUUAGGAAAGUCCGAACACCAGAGUGCAAACAUAGUGGCUAACAGCCACCAGCCGUAAGGUUAGGAAAAGUGCAACAGAAAGUAUGUACAGGUAAUGCUGUAGUGAAACCAGGUAAACUCUAUGUGGUGCAAUGUCAUGUAUACCAACGUUUGAGCACGGCACGUGCGAUUGUUGGAGGGUAGGCAGCUAGAGUGUAUUGGCAACAAUACAUCCAGAUAAAUGAUAAGGGCUUUUUAGUUUUAAUUAAAAAGUACAGAAUUCGGCUUAUAGAUUUACUUAAAUA
rnacentral:RNase_P_RNA from 2 species